rnacentral:rRNA from 1 species
UACGGAGGGGGCUAGCGUUGUUCGGAAUUACUGGGCGUAAAGGGCUCGUAGGCGGCCAACUAAGUCAGACGUGAAAUCCCUCGGCUUAACCGGGGAACUGCGUCUGAUACUGGAUGGCUUGAGUUUGGGAGAGGGAUGCGGAAUUCCAGGUGUAGCGGUGAAAUGCGUAGAUAUCUGGAGGAACACCGGUGGCGAAGGCGGCAUCCUGGACCAACACUGACGCUGAGGAGCGAAAGCCAGGGGAGCAAACGGG